rnacentral:misc_RNA from 1 species
CCCGUUCCAGGCGACUUUAACCUUCAUUUUCCUGAAAACAACGUCCAAACAAAGUUUUCUGGCGAAAACGAAAGAAAAUUUCUAGUUGAGGUUGCAAAAGUUUUUCACUCUUCAUCCGGCAAACAGAAAUUAAAUGGAACAAGAAGGAACCUUGGUUGACAAAAACUUUCCCCUCUUCUCCAAACCUUCCAAAACUCUUAAACCCCUUAAAACUACUAAAACCCUAAAACCUGACCAAAACUCCGAAACCCCCCAAAUCGAGAAGGAAAAAUCCACAAAUCCUAAUUCCAACUCUCCCAACACCACCACCCCCACCAACACAACUUUAUUUUCGGACUUGGGUCUCGCUGAAUGGGCGGUUCAAACCUGCAAGGAAUUGGGGAUGAA